CGAAUCUUCUUCGGAAGAUGAGUGGCGAACGGGUGAGUAAUACAUAGGUAACCUGCCCCUGUGCGGGGGAUAACAGGAGGAAACUCCUGCUAAUACCGCAUAGCCAUGAGCACCGCAUGGAGCUCAUGCCAAAUAUCCUUUCGGGGAUAGCGCAGGGAUGGACCUAUGGCGCAUUAGCUAGUUGGCGGGGCAACGGCCCACCAAGGCAACGAUGCGUAGCCGGCCUGAGAGGGCGGACGGCCACAUUGGGACUGAGACACGGCCCAGACUCCUACGGGAGGCAGCAGUAGGGAAUUUUCGGCAAUGGGGGAAACCCUGACCGAGCAACGCCGCGUGAGCGAAGAAGGCCUUCGGGUCGUAAAGCUCUGUUGUAAAGGAAGAACGGCGCAUACAGGAAAUGGUAUGCGAGUGACGGUACUUUACCAGAAAGCCACGGCUAACUACGUGCCAGCAGCCGCGGUAAUACGUAGGUGGCGAGCGUUAUCCGGAAUCAUUGGGCGUAAAGAGGGAGCAGGCGGCCGCAAGGGUCUGUGGUGAAAGACCGAAGCUAAACUUCGGUAAGCCAUGGAAACCGGGCGGCUAGAGUGCGGAAGAGGAUCGUGGAAUUCCAUGUGUAGCGGUGAAAUGCGUAGAUAUAUGGAGGAACACCAGUGGCGAAGGCGACGGUCUGGGCCGCAACUGACGCUCAUUCCCGAAAGCGUGGGGAGCAAAUAGGAUUAGAUACCCUAGUAGUCCACGCCGUAAACGAUGGUCACUAAGUGUCGGGGGUCAAACCCCGGUGCUGCAGUCAACGCAAUAAGUGACCCGCCUGAGUAGUACGUUCGCAAGAAUGAAACUCAAAGGAAUUGACGGG
rnacentral:rRNA from 1 species